GAGUGAAAUUACGAAAAAUCUGGCAUCGGUUUAUCCCUUGUUUACCUUUUCGAAGGAAACAACGGAAAUCACGUACCCAUUGGUACAUUGAGAUGGAACAAGAUGAUGUCGGUACGGACAUCGUGGUAAGCAGAGAGGAACUGGUUAACACAAUAUGAUGAUCACAAUUUGC